rnacentral:rRNA from 1 species
UACGAAGGGGGCUAGCGUUGCUCGGAAUCACUGGGCGUAAAGGGCGCGUAGGCGGAUCUUUAAGUCGGGGGUGAAAGCCUGUGGCUCAACCACAGAAUUGCCUUCGAUACUGGGGAUCUCGAGACCGGAAGAGGUGAGUGGAACUGCGAGUGUAGAGGUGAAAUUCGUAGAUAUUCGCAAGAACACCCGUGGCUAAGGCGGCUCUCUAGUACGGUACUGACGCUGAGACGCGAAAGCGUGGGGAGCGAACAGG